AGAGUUUGAUCCUGGCUCAGAACGAACGCUGGCGGCAGGCCUAACACAUGCAAGUCGAACGGGAUCUUCGGAUCUAGUGGCGGACGGGUUAGUAACGCGUGGGAACGCACCCUUUUCUACGGAAUAGCCUCGGGAAACUGAGAGUAAUACCGUAUACGCCCUUCGGGGGAAAGAUUUAUCGGAGAAGGAUCGGCCCGCGUAAGAUUAGAUAGUUGGUGGGGUAAUGGCCUACCAAGUCUACGAUCUUUAGCUGGUUUGAGAGGAUGAUCAGCAACACUGGGACUGAGACACGGCCCAGACUCCUACGGGAGGCAGCAGUGGGGAAUCUUAGACAAUGGGGGAAACCCUGAUCUAGCCAUGCCGCGUGAGUGACGAAGGCCUUAGGGUCGUAAAGCUCUUUCGCUGGGGAAGAUAAUGACUGUACCCAGUAAAGAAACCCCGGCUAACUCCGUGCCAGCAGCCGCGGUAAUACGGAGGGGGUUAGCGUUGUUCGGAAUUACUGGGCGUAAAGCGCGCGUAGGCGGAUUAGAAAGUUAGGGGUGAAAUCCCGGGGCUCAACCUCGGAACUGCCUCUAAAACUCCUAGUCUAGAGUUCGAGAGAGGUGAGUGGAAUUCCAAGUGUAGAGGUGAAAUUCGUAGAUAUUUGGAGGAACACCAGUGGCGAAGGCGGCUCACUGGCUCGAUACUGACGCUGAGGUGCGAAAGUGUGGGGAGCAAACAGGAUUAGAUACCCUGGUAGUCCACACCGUAAACGAUGAAUGCCAGUCGUCGGGUAGUAUACUGCUCGGUGACACACCUAACGGAUUAAGCAUUCCGCCUGGGGAGUACGGUCGCAAGAUUAAAACUCAAAGGAAUUGACGG
rnacentral:rRNA from 1 species